rnacentral:lncRNA from 1 species
CCCCAGCAGUGUUUGGUGACACAUCUGUAGUAUGGAAGCUGAGAAACCGUUCAUGUUUUCAAUGGGGAGAAGAGAAAAAUGAAAGGACAUGCUCUAAUUGAAUAUACUGGUCCUUCUGAGCAGAGACAGCCCUUCAGAUAUGGACUUGGAGUCUCAGCAUUGUGUGCGUGCGUGUCUCUGUAUCUCCUUGGCUGUCAUGAGUCAAGUGCUUCUCUUCUCUUUGGGGUUAUUCGAUUGUUCCCACAAUUGAAUGUCAGAUGAGGUACACAGAGAAAGGGUGAUGCUCACACCAAGAGAAUCGGUGAUGGACAGAAGACAGAGGAUGCAGUUUCUGGGCUUCUUGGCUCACACCUAGCUCACUGCUGAGCAUACUCAUCUCCAGGCGGCCUGAGUGUCUCUCUGGCUGCUGGCUUAGUUUGGGACUGUAGAACACCAUAAACUGAGUGGGCUCAUCUUUAUAAAUAAGAAAGAUCAUGGUCCCACAAGCUGGGAAUCGAAGAUGAAAGUGGCAGCGGAAUCGAUGUCUCUUGGCAGCCUCUCUCCUGAUCUGUACAUAGCAUGGACUUUCAGGCUUCACCCUUCUGAGGUAGAAGGAUGGAGGGGGUCUAUGUGAGUACUGCUUAUAGGGAUCCCAACUUCAAUUGCAUUGCUUUAACAAAAACAUUCUGGCCAAACAAACCUCCUGGAUAAGGUUUAUUUGGCUUAAAAUUCCAGGACGUAGUCCAUCAGAGAGGAGAAAUCAAGGCAUGAACUCAAAGCAAUCAAUCGCAUCACAUCCACAGUGAAUCAAAUGGGCUGUUUCUGCUCAGCUGGUUCUCUUCACUACCACACAGGCAGGGUCCAGUGCAUGGUGAAACGGUGCUACUAGUGUUCAGGGUGGAUCUUCCCACCACAGUGAUCAAUCAAGACAGUCCCUCAGAGACCUGCCCUCUGAUCAUCUUGAUCUAGACAAAUCUUCAACUGAGGCUCCCUGUUCAGGUCAUUCUAGGUUGGGACAAGCUGUCAGUUAGAAGCUAAGCCGUCACAGAGAGUAACCCCACUCGAGAAAAACCUUA